rnacentral:lncRNA from 1 species
UUGGGAUAAUUCAGGAUUUUUCUAACCAAGGAUCAGAUGUAGGUGACUCGAUCAAAGAAUCAUGAAGCAUGAAGUGAAAUCAAGGUCAAGAUUAAUAAACAAGUUUAUCAAUAGUAGAUUUCAAGAGUAUUUGAUAUGAUCGGGGUGGAGUCCGACAUCUUGCAUGACUAUCGAAGCAAUUUCAGAUUUUUUUGGGAACAUCAUCUUAUGCUCAUACAUGGGCCAUUGAAGAGGAAGAUAUGACUCAGUACAAGAUCUAUAGAUCUUUUUAGAGAGAGAAAGCAAAAAUAGGGAGAGAAAGUAGAGAGAGAAAGUGAAAAAAAUCUUCAUAUUUCUCAAAAGAGAAAUCCAUGA